rnacentral:rRNA from 1 species
CUGAGGGAAACAAGGCGGAAGAGCACCAGGUAGGCGAGUCGAGGGGACCGAUGGGAGCUUGCUCCCUGGAGAUUAGCGGCGGACGGGUGAGUAAAUGUGAAAAAACUGCCUAUAAGACUGGGAUAACUUCGGGAAACCGGAGUUAAUAAAGGAUACGUUCUUUUCUCGCAUGAGAGAAGAUGGAAAGACGGUUUCGGCUGUCACUUAUAGAUGGGCCCGCGGCGCAUUAGCUAGUUGGUGAGGUAAUGGCUCACCAAGGCGACGAUGCGUAGCCGACCUGAGAGGGUGAUCGGCCACACUGGGACUGAGACACGGCCCAGACUCCUACGGGAGGCAGCAGUAGGGAAUCUUCCGCAAUGGACGAAAGUCUGACGGAGCAACGCCGCGUGAACGAAGAAGGCCUUCGGGUCGUAAAGUUCUGUUGUUAGGGAAGAACAAGUACCAGAGUAACUGCUGGUACCUUGACGGUACCUAACCAGAAAGCCACGGCUAACUACGUGCCACCAGCCGCGGUAAUACGUAGGUGGCAAGCGUUGUCCGGAAUUAUUGGGCGUAAAGCGCGCGCAGGUGGUUCCUUAAGUCUGAUGUGAAAGCCCACGGCUCAACCGUGCAGGGUCAUUGGAAACUGGGGAACUUGAGUGCAGAAAGGAAGUGAAUUCCAAGUGUAGCGGUGAAAUGCGUAUAGAUUUGGAGGAACACGAGUGGCGAAGCGACUUUCUGGUCGGUAACUGACACUGAGGCGCGAAAGCGUGGGGAGCAAACAGGAUUAGAUACCCUGGUAGUCCCACGCCCGUAACAAUGAGUGCUAAUGUUAGAGGGUUUUCCGUCCUUUAGUGGCUGCAGCUAACGCAUUAUCCCUCCGCCCGGGGGAGUACGGCCGCCAGGGGUGAAACUCAAGGAUUUGACGGGGGCCCGCACAAGCGUUGGAACCAUGUGGUUUAUUUCGGAAGCAGCGGCGGAAAACCUUACCAGGCGUGGAGAUCCUCCUAGACAACCCUAGAGGAUAGUGGGUUUCCUCCUUUCGGGGGGACAAGAAAGAAACAGGAGGGUGGCAUGGGUUGUUCUUCCCUCUUC